ensembl:lncRNA
AGCAGACAUGGAAAGUAUUAACUUUCUAAGCUAUAGCAAGUGUUAUUCCAUUCUGGGCUUGCGCACCUCUGCUCUAGUUUUCAACCUUUCUGAAGAGCGGAUAGACAUACACAUACACAGACUCAUGGCCAAGCUAGCACUGAACAGCCCUGAAUUAAAGUCUAUCGAACAGGGGGUCAAGAAUCGGUUCAAAUGGAGCUGUUUGCUGGAGACUGUCCAAGUUGAGGGAAACACUUUCUCACUCAAUUGCUUUAGCAAAAUUAGAGAACCAGGCAAAGCUAUUUGCAACAUUUGCAACCACCCUAUUAACUAUGGCACAAGUGGGAAGAUUGCACUCCGGAAACAUAUGAUGCAUCCAAAACAUGUGAAACUGUGGAAGAUCCAACAGCAGAACAUGCACAUUGAGAUCACACGAGCUGAUAACAUCAUUGUUGCGGCUCCGCACAACAACUCGGCGCAACCCAGAUCAAUUCCUUCUCUAUGCAACCGUGUUGCUCAGGAUCAAGCACUCAUUCUUGGAUUCAUUGCUGAAAAUUCUCUUCCCCUGUCAGUCACGUCUGGGAUUAUUAAAUUGGCUCAAGAGUUGGCCAAAGAUCCAAAAGCACUUGCUGAACUGUCAAUGGACAGGACAUCUGCCUCAUACAAGCUCACCCAUGGUGUGAAGAAGACUAUCCUGGAUGAAGUACUUGAGGAAAUCAGAAAUGUCCCCUUCUCCCUCAACAUAGAUGAGGCCACAAGCAAGACAAACAAAAGAGUAUUAGGUGUGCUUGUCAGCUACUGGUCCGAGAAACAUGAGAGGAUGGUUGUCCAACACCUUGCAGCUUUGGAGCUCAUAUCUGUAACGGCAGAAUCUCUCUUCAGUGCACUGGAUGGGCUUUUUGAAAGGAUGAAUCUCCCAUGGGAUAAUCUGGUGUCAAUUCUCAUUCUGUGCUGUUAUGAGGGGCUCUAAAAAAGGCUUGGAAAAGAAGAUCAGAGACCGCCGUGCCCCUCAUCUCCUUGACAUCGAUGGUGACUCAUGUCACCACCUUCAUAAUGCCAGCAAGAAAUUGUGCUGUCCUUUUGAGCGUUGGGUUGAGUCUUUGCUGUCAGACCUGCACACAGACCACAAAUGGUCAGCUGACAUGAAAGAAAUUUGCAGCAUAUUUGGAAUCCAUUUCUCGCAGCCAGAGUGCUAUAUUCCACACCGGUGGCUCUCAGUCUUGGAUGUCAGUCUGGAAACACUGCGAAUGUGGGAUGCACUGGUCAUGUUUUACUAUGCCUUCCUGAGCAAUGAAGAUAAGUGUACAUACAAGGACAUUGUCAGUGCUAUUCUACAGAAGCGUGAAGUACAGGGAACAGGCAGGGCCCGGAUCAAGGAGUUGUGGAAGGAGUUGGGGAACAGGUCCAAGAACUUCACAAACGAGGGGAAGAUGAGGAAGGUCAGGAUUUGCAAGAAGGUGCUAUUUGAGGACAAGAAAACCCUUCUUGAGCUCCACUUCUAUUCAGCAGUCCUUCCCAUGCUGAAACAUUACGUCCUGCUUUUUCAGUCCAAGGACCCAAAGGUUCAUAAACUCCAUGAUGAGCAGGAGAAACUUGUAAGGGAGUUUUUAUCUUGCUUCAUCAAGCCAGAAAAAUUAAUUAACAGCAAAGGAAGGAAUCUGUCUGGGCCAAAGAUGAAGUUGCUUGACCUGACAUCGACAGAGGCCCAUCUCGCAGCACCUUUUGUUGGCUCUGAGGCCUCAUCCCUCCUUGACCAACUAGGGAGGGAACACCCUGUGGUGAAGGCUUUCAAAACUAAGGUAAUCCAAGCCUACACCAGCUGUGCAGGUGACCUUCAAACAAAGCUACCUCUUGACAGUCCAACCCUAAGGACUCUGUCAUGCUUGGACCCAGAUGCACGGGGAAGCCAUCACAUUCUUCCUCAUCUCCAGAAGUUGCCGAACAUGUUUCCAGAUGUGAAGCUUAAUGAACUGGAGAGAGCUGGAUUUCAACAUGAAAUACACAGGUGUAUAUAAUUGUUGGAAUGCCAUUUACACAGAUU